rnacentral:tRNA from 1 species
UGGCUGAGUGGUAAAGAAUCUGCCUGCAGUGCAGGAGACUAGGGUUCAAUCCCUG